AUCGCUUCUCGGCCUCUUGGCUAAGAUCAAAGUGUAGUAUCUGUUCUUAUCAGCUCAAUGAGGCCGAGAAUCCGUCGAUCCCCCCAGCAAUUCCUAUUGACAAUCUACCAUCCCCUAUCAUUCUCUAAAAGUGCGAUGCGCAUCGCACCCUAUCGAGUGGCAACUAUUAUUCUUAUGCCGCAGUUGGAGUAUUCUA